rnacentral:lncRNA from 1 species
AGGCCGCUCCACGCUCGCUGCUCGCCCCGCCGGAGCGGGCCGAGGGGCCCCGAAACCCGCGCAGUGGAGGAGGGGAAGAAGCACGCUCCGGGCAAGCAAAAGGAGAAGCCAGGCGACGCGCCCAAACCGCCUCCCCUGACCUGUCAAAGCCCCAUCUGCAGCCCGGGGCUGGUGCCACUGCGACACGUGCGUGACGGCUGGCUGCCCCCCAAAGCCGCGGGCCCGCCGCCUCUCAGCGCCGCCGCAGCCCCCCGUCCCGCCGAGCGCGGGAGCAGCUCCCCGGGCAGCGCCGGGCCGGGCCGGGCCGGGCCGGGCCGCCACUCACCUGCCGGCCGGCUGCAGCGCGGACCCCCACGAGCGCGGCUGCCACUACCCACAGGGACAGGAGCACCAUCACGAGCCGGGGCGCCGCAGAGACCGCCGCCCAGCGCCACCGCACGCACCGGCCCCGCGCUCCUUCGCCUUUCCUUUCCUUUUUCUUUUUUCUCUUCCUCUUCUUCUUUCUCCUCCCUGCUGCUGCUCCUCUUCUCGCCGUCCCUCGGGCCCCGCGCGGGGAGCGCCGCGGGCGGGACGCGAACCGGCGGCGGCGGAGGGGCGGCGGCGGCUGCCGGGGGCGCGGGCUGCAGCCCCGCUAGCGCCGGCGCCCGCGCGUGCUGCCGGCGGGGCGCCCCGGGGCUCAGGGCAGCCGGGCGGGCUGGGCGCGGGGGGCGGCGGCGGCGGCGGGGCGGCGAGUCACCGCGCCGCCUCCUGUUGCUCGCUGCGCCCUGCCUGCGCCGCGCAUCGCGACCUGCGGCGCUAAUAAAGCCGCACCGGCCCCCGGGCGCGGCUCCGCCUUCGGCGUGGCCCGACACACCGACGUCAGGGCCGCCGCCGCCGCCACCCCCGGCCCGGCCCGGCGCGGCUCCCCGACCGGGGGCCGCGGGGAAAACUCUUCCGCGCCGCCUCGCGCUGCCCCUCGUUGCAGCGGCUCUGAGGAGGGCUUCCCGGCCCGGGAAGGCGCCCCUGCCUUGCCGAGCUUGCUCUCACCUGAGGCCCGGCAGCUGA